ACCCCCAGCUUAUCUUUUUGACAAAACUGAACUCCCAAAACUCCAUCUAGCAGAUGUUUUCUCUAAAUUGGAUGACUCGAUAAGCUUCAAGUUACCUAGAGAAUAUCUCUGGUGUGGUUAUCAGCUUAGGAUAGAGGUUGAAUUAGAGAUGGAGAUCAACUCAGCCAGCUCAAUUAGGAGAAGGAGACUCGAUGUCUGGCCCUUCAUAAAUAGCGGGAUCCAUACUGGAGAUGCUGCACUCUUAAUCGAAAGCUUGAACUGGUUCAGAUCCCUAUUGCGGCGGUUGGUCAGGAGCAAAGGGCUGGUGCGGCUCUUCUAGUACCACAUCUUUUGAAGAAAACAUAACUACCCCAGUAUUUUGGUGCUUGUGACUCUCAAGGAAAGAGAAAGAAAAUGACACUUCUCGAGGCUGCAAUCCAAGAGGUCCUGACCACAAGAAUACAAUAUUUUUUUGAAGAAGAUUUUCAUAGCUUGGUGUUCUUGUGCAGGAACUAUUACGUGGCUUUUAGGUGGCAUGAGUACACCUCUUGCUGCAUACUGAUGAUGCCCACAAGAAGGUAUCAGAACAAAUCAUCCAAUGCUAACCAUGCCCACCUUCUUUCUAUUGCACCCACCACUUGAAUUUGAACAGCUCUUGCAUUUGUGAUGCUUCUGUAUAUAUGUAUUUGUCGUAGGUUUCAAACGAUUCCCAUAAUUCUUCCACUUUAUGUUUUAGUGAUCACAGGUGAGCCAAAUAGAACACGCUGCCGAUUUGUGACUGAAGGCGAGCUGUGAUCUUGUUGUUGAAGGUGGAGACAUAGCUUGGCGUUGAAACUCUGCACCGGAAUCAUCUUGGAGCCGCUUCCCCACUAUUAUGAACCCAAGAACUUCGCAGAUUUGUCCUUGGUAUGAACCGGCAGCCCAAGGCUUUCAUUUGACGCUUAUUUUUGCCACCCAUAUGCAGGACGCACCGCGAUACAGGCAUUAACAAAAAAGUGCAGUGAACCCCCCUUCAACCUUUUCAACCUUACUCCCGCCACCUAUACGCAGGACGCCCCGCAAUAUAGGCAUCGAAAGCAAGCAUAGCAAAAUACACAGUGGGCAGCAGUAGAGUUUUUGAGGUUUUGUGGCUUUGAUGUUGGUGUAUUUGGCUUUGGGGGGUUUUGAGGCUUUUUAGUAUGGAGGAUUUGUUAUUGGUGCUGUUUUGGAAGGGUUAUAGAGCUCAUGCAUGUGAAAAGAAGCAAGUCUUCUGCACUCAUGGAGACGUCAGCAAUGGUAAAGGAAAAAAAAAAACAAGAAAGGCCAUAAACAUAUGACCAGCAGGAUACCUGAAUAUAAAGCUCUCCUGUCAUCGGAUUGUCAUCUCCAGCUUUGUGUUCUUUAUAUAGGAGGCAGUGAGGAUUCUGGAGGGCUAGAUAAUGCCUGUUUGAAAUUUGAAUUUCCCAAAGCACAUGAAGAUAAGCUGCUGAUCAAGGACUUUACCUUUGACUCCGAAAUUGAAUUUGGACGCCUUCUUCCACCUCAUUCUUAUCUCAUUUUGAGAUAUUUGAUUCAAAAUUUGAAAGAUUCCUUUUGUUUUCUGUUUUGUAGCUUUUCAACAUUCAAUUUGUUUGAAUUUGAAAGACAUAAUUUGUAACUAAAGCAUUUGUUUUUGCUGCCAUUAUCCUCUUCUCUCUUUUCUUUUGAAUAAUGUUGCGGUAACUACAUGCUUCAUAGUGGAUUUUAUUGAAGGAAGGGAUCCCAACUGAUUCCGUAAUUA